AUCCGCGAACUGAGGGGUUAUUGUCUCCCCCUUCAGAUCCGGUAGCGGCUGCGGCCGCUUAUUUAUUUUUUCAAGGAG
rfam:Geoalkalibacter subterraneus strain Red1, complete genome.